GUCUACAGCUAUACCACCUUGAACAUACCCUAUCUCAUCUGAUCUCUGAAGCUAAGCAGGGUUGGGCCUGGUUAGUACUUAGGAGAACUCUUUGAGAGAUCCCAGUAGAAAUC
ensembl:rRNA 5S_rRNA 5S ribosomal RNA